rnacentral:rRNA from 1 species
UGGGCAACCUGCCCCUCUUUCUGGGAUAACCCCGGGAAACCGGAGCUAAUACCGGAUACUCCGGCUGGAUCGCAUGGUCCGGCCGGGAAAGGUCCGCCGGAGAGGGAUGGGCCCGCGGCCUAUCAGCUUGUUGGUGGGGUCAUGGCUCACCAAGGCGACGACGGGUAGCUGGUCUGAGAGGACGACCAGCCACACUGGAACUGAGAUACGGUCCAGACUCCUACGGGAGGCA